GAUGAACGCUGGCGGCGUGCCUAAUACAUGCAAGUCGAGCGAACGGACGCGACGCUUGCUUCUCUGAUGUUAGCGGCGGACGGGUGAGUAACACGUGGAUAACCUACCUAUAAGACUGGGAUAACUUCGGGAAACCGUAGCUAAUACCGGAUAAUAUUUUGAACCGCAUGGUUCAAAAGUGAAAGACGGUCUUGCUGUCACUUAUAGAUGGAUCCGCGCUGCAUUGGCUAGUUGGUAAGGUAACGGCUUACUAAGGCAAGUAUGCAUAUCCGACGUCUUAGGGUGAUAGCCCACCUUGGAGCGUGGCCACCCUCCAGACUCCUACGGUAGGCCGCAGUAUGCAACCGUCCGCAAUGGUCGAAAGCCUUACGGAGCAGCGCCGCGUGAGUUAUGAAGGUCUCCGGUGCGUAAUACCGUGUUAUUAGUGAAGAACAUAUGUGGAAGUAACCGUGGACAUCUUGACGGUACCUAAUCAGAAAGCCCCGGCUAACUACGUG
rnacentral:rRNA from 1 species